UCCACUUUUUUAUUUUUUCCUUUUUAUUUCCUCCUCAUUUACUCUAAUGUCGCAACACUUUUCUUCCCUCCUCCUCUAUUGGAUUUUCGUCGGACCGUCGCCGUGCCUCCACCGACUUUGGUGAUUCAUUUCUUUUUUUCACUAUUUUCCAAUCUCUACCAUUCUCUUUAGUAAACGAAAUGAUAUUUCUCCUAUUUUCAAUAGUUUU
rnacentral:lncRNA from 1 species